rnacentral:rRNA from 1 species
UGCAAGCGUUACUCGGAAUUACUGGGCGUAAAGGGCGCGUAGGUGGUUGUUUAAGUCUGCUGUGAAAGCCCCGGGCUCAACCUGGGAAUGGCAGUGGAUACUGGACAGCUAGAGUGCGGUAGAGGGUAGUGGAAUUCCCGGUGUAGCAGUGAAAUGCGUAGAGAUCGGGAGGAACACCAGUGGCGAAGGCGGCUACCUGGACCAGCACUGACACUCAAGCACGAAAGCGUGGGGAGCAAACAGG